UGCCGCCGCCGCCGGCGGAGGGGCGGGAAGCGCGCGCGCCCGCCCGGGCCUGGCUUGACGGAGCCGCGCCCCGGCGGGAAGCGGCGGGCCGGGCCGGUGCGGGCCGUGAGGGGCCGGUGCGGGCCGUGAGGGGCGCCGCCGCCGCCGCGGGGCUUCGCCUUCCUCAGGGAGGUGCCGCCGCCGCCUCCGCCUCCUCGUCCUCCCGCCCCGGGGGGCUCGCUUCAGUGCGGCAGUCCCCGGCGGUGACCCCGCGGCGGUUAGCGGGCAGCGGGCGCACGUCGGCUUCGCCCUCGGGCCGCCGGUUGAGAGUGCCCGCUGUUGGGGACAAAAAAAGUCGGCGCGGGGCGAUUUCCAGCUUGAGAUCAGUGCUUGUGCUGAUUUCCAAUGAAGUACAUCCUGGUAACUGGUGGUGUCAUCUCGGGCAUUGGCAAAGGGAUCAUUGCAAGCAGCAUUGGCACCAUACUGAAAUCAUGUGGUCUACGUGUCACUGCAAUCAAAAUUGAUCCUUACAUAAACAUAGAUGCUGGAACCUUUUCACCAUAUGAACAUGGUGAAGUUUUUGUAUUGAAUGAUGGUGGAGAAGUUGACUUAGAUUUAGGAAAUUAUGAGAGAUUUUUGGACAUCAGUCUCUAUAAAGAUAACAACAUCACCACUGGAAAGAUAUAUCAGCAUGUCAUUAAUAAAGAAAGACAUGGUGAUUACCUGGGAAAAACUGUUCAAGUUGUUCCACACAUCACCGAUGCAGUUCAGGAAUGGGUAAUGAAUCAGGCAAAAGUUCCGGUGGAUGAUGACAGAAAAGAGCCACAAAUUUGUGUAAUUGAGCUGGGUGGAACCAUUGGAGAUAUUGAAGGAAUGCCAUUUGUUGAAGCAUUUAGACAGUUUCAGUUCAAAGCCAAAAGAGAGAACUUCUGUAAUAUCCAUGUUAGUCUUGUACCACAGCCUAACGCCACUGGUGAACAGAAGACAAAACCAACACAGAACAGUGUUCGAGCACUGAGGGGUCUAGGCUUGUCUCCAGAUUUGAUUGUCUGCAGAAGUGCAAAACCUAUAGAAAUGGCAGUGAAGGAAAAGAUUUCCAUGUUUUGCCAUGUGGAGCCUGAGCAGGUGAUAUUUAUCCAUGAUGUUUCUUCUACUUACCGAGUACCAAUCCUGUUGGAGGAGCAAGGGAUCAUUAAGUAUUUUAAACAGAGGUUAAAUUUACCUAUUGAUGACCAGCCAAGUGAUCUUCUAAUGAAAUGGAAGAAAAUGGCUGACAGAUACGAAAGGUUGCUGAAGGUGUGUUCCAUAGCUCUCGUUGGCAAGUACACAAAACUAAGUGAUUGCUAUGCAUCUGUUUUCAAGGCUCUGGAACACUCUGCGCUGGCAAUUAAUCACAAACUGGAUUUAAUGUACAUAGAUUCAACAGAACUUGAACGUUCUAUGGAAGCGGAGAACUCAGUGAAAUAUCACCAGGCGUGGCACAAACUGUGCAAAGCAGAUGGUAUUCUGGUCCCAGGAGGGUUUGGAAUUAGGGGAACAGAAGGCAAACUCCAAGCUAUCUCCUGGGCAAGAACAAAGAAAAAGCCUUUCCUUGGAGUUUGCCUCGGAAUGCAAUUAGCAGUUGUGGAAUUUGCAAGGAACUGUUUGAAUUGGAAAGAUGCAAAUUCUACAGAAUUUGACCCAGACACAAAAAACCCUGUUGUUAUUGACAUGCCAGAACAUAAUCCUGGAGAUAUGGGUGGAACAAUGAGACUGGGGAAGAGGAGGACUGUUUUCAAAACGCAAAAUUCUGUUUUAAGGAAACUUUAUGGUGAUGAAAUGUUUGUAGAGGAGCGACACAGGCAUCGAUAUGAGGUGAACCCAGAACUGACUCACUGCUUUGAAGAGAAAGGUUUGAAAUUUGUUGGCCAUGAUACGGAAGGGAAGAGAAUGGAAAUUAUUGAACUGGAGAAUCACCCAUAUUUUGUGGGAGUUCAGUUCCACCCAGAGUUUUCCUCAAGACCUAUGAAACCUUCACCUCCAUACCUUGGACUGUUGCUAGCAGCAACUGGGACACUCAGUGCGUACCUGCAACGUGGAUGUAAAUUGUCUCCAAGAAAGAAUGACAGCUACAGUGACCUCAGCGAUGACAGCUCUCCAGAAAAAGAGUUUCCUAAUUCAGAAACAAGCUGAAAGGAUUGUAUGAGAUCACAGAAAUGGAUGAUACUAUUGAGAUCCUUCCCACCUCCAAACAUCACUAUGGCUGUUUUCUCGAGACCAACACAUAGUACAGGACAGCCCCUUUAGCUUUGACCUUCCUUUCCUCGAUGGAAUUUAUGAAUGAAAGUUGGGAACGGGACAAUAUUGAAUAGAAGAAAGUAGAAGAGUAAGCUGCUUACAGUCCUCAUAGUGUCUUCUCCUGUAGUGUUUUCAGUAAUUCUCUUUACAGAUGACAGUUUUACUGUCCUGUAGCAAAAACUGUUCUGUAUAAAUGCUGUUUCUCUUUAAACAUGACAAAAUGGUUGUGCACCUUAGCUGUUAAUCGUUACUGAUCUUCUCCUAUGUUUCAGAGCAAUCUCAGGUGAAUAUGUAUUAACUUGCUAGUUCACAACUGUUCUUGAUUUGAAGGAAGAUUUGAUUGUUUUCAGUUUGCCUUAGAACAGGUAGAUAAAAUGCAUUAGUUCUUGUGAAUGAGAGGGAAUGCACUGAAAAAUUUAAGGGAAAGUUGUCUUAUCCAUGAGCAGUAGAGAACUGGUUCAGGUUUGUUUCCCUGUUAAGCUUGUUGUGUAUAUAUAUUUUUACUUUUUUGCUGUUCAAUAUGUACAAAUGAGAAAUUAUUGCUGUAUUUCAGCUCUUUGUGAUUAUAAUAAUGGAUGUUGGAUACAAAUCUUUUCACUUUGCUUUUAUAAGUGAUUUCACUUACAAAAGUUCAAGUUUAUUUGCUCUAUUUCUCCUGAAAGUCUGAUAAUACUGAAUGUAAUUCUGACCUACAAAAUUACAGAAGUGAUAUUAGAAGGUGGGUUUGCAUUUGUAUUUUGUAGGAGAGAAGGUAAAUACACUCAUAUGUUAAAAUGUAAUUUGAACACUUGUAUGAAAGUUGUAGAAGAACCAGUCAUAAACCUGGAGCAUUAUCUGGGCUCCAGCCAUGCAACACUCAGUUAAUUUCAAUAGAUGAGUAUAAAGGUGAAUUAAGGUUCACUCUUGUUUUCCCUCAUCCAGUGACCACUCCGUGGUCAUGGCGCUCAUUCCCCAAUAGAAUAGAACAAGGUAUUUUAAUUUAGAAAUCACAAGUUAUUCCACUAUACAACAAUUGCAGGCAGCCCUGCAAAGGCAAGACUGCAGCCUGAAUCACUGAGGCAGAAGGGGAAGGUGAGAGGUGCUGUACUGCGUUUAAGGCUGGAUCCCAUGAGCAAUGUGGUAUCAUCAGACCUGUCACAGAAGCUGGACCUGAGCUAUGUAGCUGGUGGGCUCCGAAUGCCUGGGGCACUCUUUCCUAUAAAGAAAACUUCUGAAUUUUGAGCUUUGUAUUUCGUUUUGGUUUUGGGCAAAGCGACUUUUUUAAUUCAUCAAAAGGUAAAUAUCUGUAGGAAAAAAAAAGCACCAUGUCCCUUUUUACAGCUUUGUAAAACAGUACCUCUGAGAGCUUUGCAUUGCUUUAGAAAAUCUCAGGUUACACAGCCAAUUUGUCUCUUCACUGAAAGAAGCUUUAAUGGUAACAAAAUAUCAAAUGUAUUCCUAUGGCAGCGUUCUUCUAAAGUGAUUUGCAAAUGUGUGCCUUAGAGAUAGCAGGUCUUGACAGAAUUGGUGUCACCGUUUGUCUUCCCCAGGGAGAGACACUGGCCACUGGUUUGUGAAAGGUGAAACAUUUCCUAAGAUUGUCUGUAAUGUGCAAAUGUAUUUUCAAAUAUAUUAAAUUGUGUUAUUCAGAAGUGUUA